GACCUAACCCUUAAAUUUUUAUUUAAGGCAUGGCCUAAAAUCCUUACGAAUAAAGACGGCCUCAUGGUCGGUCCUAUUCGUAAGGUCUGCUUCCGAAAGGUUGCAGGAUGCCCGAAAGGGUGU
rnacentral:sRNA from 12 species